rnacentral:rRNA from 1 species
UCUGACCUGCUCAUGACUUUAUUGUUAAAUGGCCGCAGUAUAUUGACUGUGCAAAGGUAGCAUAAUCACUAGUUUUUUAAUUGAAAGCUUGUAUGAAAGGUUUGAUGAGAAAAAUUCUGUCUCUUUAAAAAUUUACUAGAAUUUUAUUUUUAAGUGAGAAAGCUUAAAUAUUCAUAGAAGACGAGAAGACCCUAUAGAGUUUUAUAUAUAAAAUUAUAUAUACAAUUUUAAGUAAAAAAAUUUAUUUUAAGAUUAAAUAUUUUGUUGGGGUGAUAGGAAAAUUGAUAAAACUUUUCUUGGUUUAAAACAUUAAUUUAUGAAUUUAUGAUCCUAAUAAUUUAGAUUAAAAGAUAAAAUUACCUUAGGGAUAACAGCGUAAUUUUUCUUAGAGUUCUUAUCAAAAGAAAAGAUUGCGACCUCGAUGUUGGAUUAAAAUUAAUUAUUGGUGUAGGAGCUGAUUAAUUAAGUCUGUUCGACUUUUAAAAUUUUACAUGAUCUGAGUUUAAACCGGUGUAAG